CUUCAGUUCUUUAGACUGGGAGGCACAUGUCAGACGUCUUUUGACAACAGCUUUGCACCUGUUUUUUGCUGUUGUGUCUAGCAGAUGGAUCUACCCACGGAUCUUUCGUCCAGGUUAUGGAUGCUUAUUAUUAUUAUUAUUUUUAUGUGGAUUUUGAUCAGCCUCGUCUUCAUCUUGAUCAACAAGUGCAUUUCAAAGGCAGAGGCCCAAAGUUAUGAGAACCUGGACGCCGCAGAUGAUCAGACUGAUCGGACUGAUCAGACUGAUCAGAUCGUCCACGAGCAGGACGUCCCAGACUACGAGCAGGUUGACCAGGACGUCCCGGACUACGAGCAGGACGUCCCACACUACGAGCAGGACGUCCCAGACUACGAGCAGGUUGACCAGGACGUCCCGGACUGCGAGCAGGACGUCCCAGACUACGAGCAGGUUGACCAGGACGUCCCAGACUGCGAGCAGGACGUCCCGGAAUACGAGCAGGACGUCUCAGACUACGAGCAGGUUGACCAGGACGUCCCGGACUGCGAGCAGGACGUCCCAGACUACGAGCAGAUUGACCAGGACGUCGCAGACUACGAGCAGGACAAGCAGUCCGACUCUUUGAAGGCGGUGGGUGAGGACGAGCCUCUCCCUCUGAUUCCACGGUACCCAGAUCUAGAUCCAGCAGCAGACAGUUUCUCAGAGGACGACUACGACGACAUCGGGGGUGAAGAUGAAACCGAGGGGGAAGAGGACUACGACGAUGUGGCUUAGGACCACAAGAGAACGGGAGAGAGAUCAUUCAAGUAAAGACGCUGUCAACCCUCUGGAUCAGAACGAAGUCCCCCGGGCAGGUGGAAGGUUUUCAUGUGUUUCAUAAGUAGAAGGGGUGGUUGUCUGUAGUUAAUGUGUGGUUUUCAAGGACAAAGAAGAGGCAGAACACAUACGUGACUCAUUUUCCAGGCAAAGGAUGUGGUCAGUUUAAUCUACAGGAAUACUUCAUAUUCUAAUCAUCCAUGUUUGUAGCGUCUAAAAAGAACAACCUGCCUGUUUUCAGCUAAGAGGCUUUUUAAAAUAGUUGAUUCCAUUUAAGGGGAAGGAGGAUUUCCUUUAUCUCUUUAUUCAGUUUAUCAGAAACACUCUACAUCCGCAUCUGGACACGUGGUUUUCACUUGGCAGGAAGGGGAUGAAAAACAGUCAUCUGAAAAGAAACUAAAGCCGUCAGCGAAAUGUGGUAGAGAAAACAGUACAAUACAAUUAUGAGUAAGUACAUUAAAUAGGAAAACUUGAGUAAAAAACCUAUUGAUUGGUUUAGAAAGCAGACAAGGCUCAGAGGCAUUUCCUCCUUCUUCUUUUCUGCUGAAUCCCAAGUUUUAGAGACUCUGAUCCCGGUUUGGUUACGACUGCGUCAUCAGUCGAGCCGUCGAAGGCUUAAAAUAACUAUAAAAAAAAAAAAAUGUUUUUAUGCUGCCGUGUGGUUGACGCUGCAUUCUGAUUGUACAGCUGUUGAUUGUUGUUGCGCUUUAUGAGCUUUGACUCACCUGUCAAUGUAGCUGGGUUGCAUUUAAGUAAUUUAGCAUGUUAACAUAGUCCGUGCAUGUAGAAGUCAUGGAGUCGAACUCGCACUUGAGUAUUGUUAAAACAAUCUCUUACCCUGCUUGGAGUAAUGUCACGCUCAUCCUCCGUCUUAUACGUUCCAUCUCCACAGGGGUCGUGUCGGGCCCCUCGGGUGGCAGCAGGCCCUCAGCAGCCUCUCAGCCCGGUCGUCCUCUGUGGAUCCAAACAUUGGAUUCAAAAAGGGAAAGAAUUCUACCAAAAAACAUAGUUAUUUGAUCUCCGUUUAUGAAAAAGCGCCGUUAAGCCAGCAGUUUGGUGACCCACAUACAUAAUCUCUCACACUCUGACCACAUAAUAACAUCCUGCCAGUCAUCAGUCACUGCCUUACGUAGCCCUCGGGAAGUUUUAAUGAAUAUAAGUGGAUUUGAAUGCCUCGGUUUAGGAUUAAGUGAUCUGACGGCGCUCCAAAGAGACAAUGCAGGAAAAGAAAAAGCUGGGGGAAAAAAAAGAGGGGAAAUUUUUUUGGGGGAAAAAAAUCCAGCGAAAACAGGAAGGUCACUGAGGUUAAACAAUUUAAAAAUGUGAAGAAAAAGACAAGAUUCUUUCCUUUUUUCUUUUUUACAGUCUGUGCUGGCAUUGUCCACUGUGCAGCUGAUUGAUGGAAUACUUAACUAAUAAUAUAUUAUUUAGCACAUGAAAAUAUAUUAAAAUGUUUUUUUGAUGGAUUUAACACAUUAUAAUGUACUUGUCAGUGUAUAUUUAGUGUGUAUUAAUGUGCUGUGAUUGCCAACAAUCAUAACCACGUAAGACAGUUAUAUUUUCAUGUAGUUCAGGAAGAGUUUGGAUUGUUUACCACAUUAAUAGAAGGAUUUGUCUUAUAAUUAGGUUCAUAUAGUUAUUGGCUCUCUAACAGAAAACAUUUUCGUAGGAAAAUCUUUCGUUUUUCACAAGGACUUUAAUUUUGAAGAAUCUAAAACGGAAGUGUAGCUGUAGCUAAAGGUGUGGGUUUGAAACAGCAAGCCCACGCUUUCUUUUUUGAAAAUUCGUAUAAAUAUUAGAUUGUGUUGAUAGAUGAGAGGAGACAAUGCUGUUUGAAAAAGAGUUCAAAAGGAAUAUUGACUCCUAAAAAACUUUAUUUUAUGUUAAAAACGUGCAUCUUUAUCAACACUAUUACAGCAACAGAUAGAAAUAUAUAAACGUCCAAUUCGAUUCAAUUUUAAAAAUACCAUCAGAAAUUAUAUGCAAAAAAACAAUAAACAACCACAUACCACGGUGAAAACACAAAUGUACUUUCCGUUACAGUAUUAUCUGUUUUAUCAGAGGCUUAUAUUAUUUUGGGAUAUUUUUAUUGCCUGAUUUUGUUGGUCUCAAUGUUGUCCUGAAAUGUUUUAAUCCCAGUUUAACCACCAAAGGCACUUUGUUUAAAGUAUAACAUGCUGUAUGAAUUUGGUUGAUUAUUAAGAUGAUUGUUCCAAAAUUGUUUUGUGUUUUAUUCACACAAAGAUUUCACGUGUUGUGGAUAAAAUGUUCAAUGUAUUUUAGAAGUGCAGCAUAAUAUUUAGUUUACCUAAGCGUAGUGUGUAGCAACCUGACAUCCUGCCUGUACAGAUAAAACGUGAUUUGCUUUUUAAUAAUAGUUAUGGGAUGCACCAUGAUGUAAUAAAUAAAACGUAACGAUAGAGCUAUUUAUAAAACAAUGCAGUUCCGGUUUUAAAGCUGUAUUUGGUGGUACAAGUGAAAGUUGUUACGUUAAUUGUUGCUAUUGUUACAGUGACUUUCCCCUCUACUGUUUAACAGUUUAAUUUGGUGUGUUUCCUUCCUCCUUAAAUAUGAAUGAUACUAUCUGAACGGUUGUAUGAAUUGUUGGUGUCUUUUCUUAUUAGAAUAAAUUCUUUGCAC
ensembl:lncRNA